rnacentral:rRNA from 1 species
GACGAACGCUGGCGGCGUGCUUAACACAUGCAAGUCGAGCGGUAAGGCCCUUUCGGGGGUACGACGAGCGGCGAACGGGUGAGUAACACGUGGGUGACCUGCCCUCCAGCUCUGGGAGUAAGCCUGGGAAACGUAGGGUCGUAAUACCGGAUAUGACUCCAUGACGCAUGUUGUGGGGUGGAAAGCCUUGUGCGGCUGAGGAUGGGCCCGCGGCCUAUCAGCUUGUUGGUGGGGGAUGGCCUACCAAGGCGACGACGGGUAGGCCGGCCUGAGAGGGCGACCGGCCACACUGGGACUGAGACACGGCCCAGACUCCUACGGGAGGCAGCAGUGGGGAAUCUUGCGCAAUGGGCGAAAGCCUGACGCAGCGACGCCGCGUGAGGGAUGACGGCC